GCCACCGUAGCUUAGCAGGUAGAGCAGCUGAUUCGUAAUCAGCAGGUCGGGGGUUCAAAUCCCUCCGGUGGCUC
rnacentral:tRNA from 1 species